UCAACGGCGGCGGGGGGGGGGCGAAGGGGGGGGGGGGAACCGGGCGGCAGCGGCCGGAGGACGCCGGGCAGGCGGGAGGCGGCUCCGCGGCGCCCAGGCGGACAGACCCCAGGACGACGGCCGCUGCGUUCUCCCCCUGCCCCAGCGCCCGGCCGGGCUUUGGUUCUCAGCGUCCGCAAGGCGAGAAAAAGCAGAAAAAGGAGAACCCCCCCCCAAAA